AGUGUAUUAUUAUUAUGAUAUCAUGCAAUGUUCAUCUCAAUAGUAAGCCUAAGUAUGACCAGGGGCAUGUUCGGGUCAGGGUCUGUGGGAUUGUUUGAGGCUUGGUCCAGGAAGGUAGACUCAUUGGCGCCGGACACAUCUGGCUUCCAUUAACAAACUGAUAAGAUACACAGGAUGUAGAGAGGGGGGGCAACGGCGGGGUCAUAGGUCAGCCAACAGCCCCAUCCGCGCGCUCCCGCGUGGAGGGAAGCGCAAGAGUAUAAGGUUUAGGACGGGAGUAGACAGGGGGACUCGACAUCUUGGCUAGGGCGCGAGACACUUCUCUCUGACAUCGGUUGAAUAAAAUCUUUCCCCAAUCAGCCAUGUGUGACUGAAGUUUUCCUUCCCCAAGCCAGCCACUUUUUCACCAUCUUGUUUGGAAGACCAGCUGACCAUCGAAGAGAAUUCACCACAAUUUUGGCGUCACGAACAGUUCUCUUGUCCUUCGGGGAGCCCUCGCCCGCCUGGGUGCGAGCAUCGAGCGUCCGGCCGGCAGGCUGAGUUUGAGGCUGACAGGGGCAUGAGAAAGGAGAGCUGAGAAGCGGGAUCCACUUUGGUCGAGGAGAUUGGAAAUUCACAGCACCAUAUUCUAAGUCGCAUUUUUGAGCAAGCAUGACACAGGUAAUAACGCGUGAGAGAUCAAAACAUAGAUCAGGGCUAGUUGUGGGACGCAGACCUCUGAGUUAAUUUUGAAUAAUGAUACUGACGACACAAUGUACUGUCCCCUUAAACUGGAACUAUAGACAAAACCUAGCUCGACAAUAGGAUGAGUUGCAGGACUUACAAUAUAAAGACGACAUUGCCGUUACUAGGAGAAUUCGACUUUUGGUAAACAAACGUUACUAGUGAAUGGAGGGCAGCAGCUACAUUUGGAGAUAGCCUUACAAGUUUGGUGUCCCAGUCUGUCUCUCUCAGUGCCAGGAUCCCUGAAAACUCGACCCCGAGACUCCGCCUGCAGCCGUGGACGACUACAAAACGGUGCCUGGCUUUGAGGCACCUUUGACCUUUGGCAAGGACAAAGAAAGACUGUUGUUGUGCUUGGAGGGGGUAAGUACACUCCGGGGAAAAGACAACAUCCUCGGGGACGAGAAAAAGACAGUGAGAAGUGGAGGAACUCACAAUGUUGAAGAAAAAAAUGGACAUUUGAACAAUGGACUCAUUCGAGAGUGAUGGAUGUGUUGGCUCUGAAGCAACAACAAAAGAACACCAUCUUGAGAGGGUGAGGUGCGACAAAAGAUAUGGACUUGAAAUGUCCGACGGCCAAAUCGCACUCCUUGCCGCGGCGGUGCUAAAACUUCGUGGGGCUUGGGUUAGAGUGGACAGGAGCUUCAUUGUGCACUGGGUUUGACAGAACUGAGGAGAUUUGAUAAAGGAUUGAAUAAUGCGUAGAGCUACAGAGAGAAGCAUCAUGGUCAGAGAUUGAACAGAUUUGAAUAAAACAAAUAGGUUAAAACGGUGGGAAACAAGAGCGAGAUCUGAUGUUUUGGCUCACCACACAUAAGAAGUAGAAAUCGAGUUAGAUAGAUUUUAGAACGGGACAUCUAGACUAAAGUGGAUUCAGUCAAGAGGAAGCUAGGACGCUCGAGGUACCUACUCAAUACGAUAGAAGUUUGUUGCACCAUAGUGGAGGUUGGGUAGUCAGAAAGUUGGAUCCGUUAAAUUUUUGACUUUCACACAUUCAUGCAUAGGAGUCGCACAAGGCCACAGGUCACAAGAUAAUGACUGAGAUAGGGCUCAAAUUCAACUGCACCCACACGGCAAUGUAGAAGCAGGAGAGCGGAGUAAGGGAUUAUAUGCUAAACAGUCCGCUGUAGGGUUACCAAUAGGAGAUUCUGUCAAAAGAACUACUAAGAGGUGGAGGCGAAGAUAAUAGGAGGACAUAGAUAUUCGAGGGGUUGAUAAGGGCAAACUCCAUUGUCAAAGAUGGGAUUAGAGCAAAUUGGAAUUUGCCAUUUUAACAGGAAUUGACAGCGAGGGAGAUUGAGGAUAGAAGAUCCGGACAGCAAUGACGUAAAUUACAUUAAAAACUGCUCAUUCGAGGGAGAAGGCUCGGCGCUCCCUGUGUGGAGCUGCAGCUUUGCAGAAGGGGGGCAGACCGCGCGAGUGAGUGGAUGAAAGGAGUGGUGAUAGGCGACCACAAGGAAAUAGGGAGAGGUGUUGGAUGGUGUGACAGGCAGGAGGUUUAGGAAGAAGUAGAAGAAAGAAAAUAAAAAGGGGGGGAGUGAGACUCGCCAAGAGGGGCAAUAAAGAGAAGCAGACUGAGAAACAGUUUUGAGCAAGACAACGGGAAAAAAAGGGGGAGAGCCAAAUGAUGACGUAAAAAGCCAGAGAGAAUAGUCUGACCCAUCUUUAUUGAAUUUAAUUAAGAUAAGUAAUAGAGAUCGAGUUUGUAGGACCAAUACGAGGGUAUGGAGGCUCCCUCAAAACGCGGGUCCCACAGUUAGUCCCUCAGAUAGACAUAUAUGACAAUUUGCGAUGAAUCUGAUGGGCGAGUUUAUGGAAAAUUGAAUUGGAGAUUUUAUAAUAGGUCAUGUUGACGAAUAUGUCCGAAUGUGAAGAGUCACUAUUAGGAGUCAAUAUUUGCCUACACACUAAGAUACUAACUUUGCUUGGUUUGGGGGGAGAGCUGAGUGAUUGAGACGGAUGAGUGUGUCUGUGAGUGUGUGGAUGGGUGAGUGCGCAUGUGAUCAUCUACGGCUGUGUGUGCGCAGUAUGAUUGGCCAGAGAGGUCUGAAGUUGGGGUGAUGUGUUUGCCAUUGAGGAUAAGAUUCCUCUCACCUGAAGGGGUGGUACAGAUCGGAGGGACUGGAACUGGUAAGUGAUGAGCUCUGAUCGGAACCACGGUUCAAUGAUCAAUCAGGGGCACCAUCGACAACCAAACGGUUCAAUGGAGAAGGCCCGUUUUAGUGAUAUGGUCAGACAAGACAGAACUAGUAUUGGACAUCAAGACUUUGGACGAUUUGACGUGUGACGACUUUGAGCUCACCCAACGGGGUGACGGACUAGGUGGACAGUGACCAAAUGUUUGACGCUUGAGCUUGCUUGCGACAUGAGCGAGCCCUGCUUUGGGUUUCUGUGCGACUUGACCUUUUUUUUGCAGCAGCAACGGCCGCCAGCCAAGGAGCGGAUUGCGCGUUGCUGGCGUAACUUGCUUUCGUUCUUGCAGGUUGUCGAUUGCGUUCGUGGAACGUUUGUGUUGAAUUUACAAGAAUAUGUUAACCCUUGCUUUUUUGGUUUUUAUAAUGGACUUGUUGAUUACAUGGUUUUCAGGACAGGAUCCCCGAGCGCCAGGAUUCAUUUUAUGACUGUUUUUGUUUUGAUACUUGAUGUCUGUUUUUGUGUGUACAAAUGUCCGCUGCCAGCAGGGCUACAAGCUCACUGACAGGAGUGCGCUGAUUUUUGUUUGUGUUGCCGAGUGUGUGGUGGACAGUCAAGUUUCAGAGACUUGGGGUGACGGUCCCGGGGCCCAGAUGGAAGCUAGAGGUUCCGUGGGCCUGGCUACAAUGUGUGUGGUGAUGAGAGGGGACGCUUUGCAGGUUCCUUUUGAUACGUAAUGACACAUUGGGUGAAUGUGUCAAACGGGGGGAGUGGUAAAACAGAAAGGGGUGAGUAGGUUGCAAUUUGUAAUUGUGAUAUACAAAGUUUUUUUCCAAAUUCACUUGUUUUUAAGCUUUAACAGGACACGCCAGAAUUCAACUAGCAGUGAUGGAAGGAGCAGAAGAAGCGUCUUGAAAGAAAGGGAGUUAACGGGAGACAACAGCCUGGAAUGGAUGCGAAGCGUGGUAACAAUUUAGUGACAAUAAGGUUUAAGUUUUUUCAAUGACAAAGUGCGAAGGACAAAUCAUACAGUGAUUUGGGAAUGGACAGUGGCACAAUACACAACGAAAGUUUGGAAGGUUAUUGACUGUGAGGAAGACGGGGCCAGAGACAAGGAACGGGGAAAUUUCUGAACGAGUGACUGCAUCAAAGCUGCUAUUACAGGGCAAAUGUUUAAUUAUACAUUUUAGGACGAGUAGUUUGCAGAACGAAUACAGAAAGGAUUUGGUGGCUGUACCGUUUUGGAAAGAUUACAUGAGCGUUGUUUCAGAAUGAUGACUGGUUUGAACAGUGAGGUGGCUCAAACAUAAGGCACGGAUACAUAAAGGUACAGAUCUAGGAAACUACAGUAUUGUGAGGGGUACCGGUUUGAGAAUGCUACACGUCUUUAGACUGAAGAAGGGAUUUGGGGGUGACAAAUAGUAUUUGGACGGGAAAAAGAGCGGUUGAAGUGACAUGACUGACGGGACUUCAGAAAGAUGAGUGUGAUUGAGACAGUGACACCUGCGACAGGAAAGGCUACCAGGAACAGGUAGAAUUUACAUUGUGACUGGGGGGAUCUAGCAUCGCUGUCGGCACGACGAGAAAUGAGGGGAAUGAGUCCUGGAGUGUUUGCUUGUUUGUUUGUUUGUUUGUUUGUUUGUUUGUUUGUUUGUUUCAGGGACUGCGUGGGCCUCUGGAAACGAGGGGUAGGUGUCGGGAGCCCUCGGGCGUUCUGAUGAGAUUUCAAUGAGACGAUUGACGCAGCUUUCUCCUCGUUGCCCCAUCACCGCCAAAUAAUUAUUUGAGGGGGCUGGAAACACUGGAGCUAUCGGGUUGUGUUGCCCCGCCAGCGGUGGCCGUCGGGGCCGGAAGGACGUCCGGCCUGGGCUGCGGCUUUUGCCAUUAUGACUUCACAUGUUUGCACUGUUAACGUCACUUGAUACAGACAGUAGCUUUAGCUUGUCAUAGGUCGCCUGGCUACUGACCGGGGCCUUGCACGGGAUUCAACGGCCAUCAUAAGCAACAGGAGGACACUGAACGGACAGCCGGCCCGGGACGGUGCCGUCUACUACUAGUGCUAUUUUCCACUGACGGAUCAAUGGACUGGAUUUCAUAUCUGCACGUACUUGUGCAUGCAAGGGGGGCAGCGCAACGACGGGUUUAAUGUUCUUGCAUGCUUUGACGAUUUGUUUUUAUAUACCUCACUGUGUUACAUCUGUGUUUUUUGCCAUGAUAUUUACUUUAUUAUGUGACCUCAUUUGCUUGCCCCGUGGCAUGUUUACGAUACGACGUUGCAUGUUGAGCGAUCUGUAUUUGAGGGUCAUGGUUCUGCUUGUUGCUGUGUUUAGGGCUCAUGCUACGCUUUGUGAAAUGUGGUGUGUGCCGGAGCUCCCUUCACCUGACUCUCGCCAGGUGAGAGGCGCCUCCGGGGGUGUAGAAUGGGCCUCCCUCUUUUUCCUCGUCAUUAGAUUGGCGGGGUUUUUUCGACGGCGGUCCGGCAACUUUUUGGGGCUUCUAACGGGCCACAGCAAACUUUUCCUCUCCAAAUUGAUGGCGUUGGUGAUAUAUUGCCGAAGGGGGGUGUGCGGACGGCGUCAAUCAGUUAAUGGGGUUGGGGGAUUCGAUCUUGGUCAAAUGUGGUUCCUGAGAGGCCUCAGAUUGCUGUCAGGGAGGAAUUUGCUAUUAAAUUAGGUUGAGCUUUCCUAGUUAAUGUAACCUUAAGUAGCAUGCCUUGAGCAUGGUUUAGGAUGAGACAAAUAGGUCCAAAUUGUAGACGAAAACCAUAAAAUGGUUGGGGGAAGGUUUUUUUGAUGUACCGAUGUCUUUUCGUGUUGAGUUGUUGCCGGGGCACUUGGGGUGCCCCGGCAGGGGGGUUUAUGUAGUGUAUUAUUAUUAUGAUAUCAUGCAAUGUUCAUCUCAAUAGUAAGCCUAAGUAUGACCAGGGGCAUGUUCGGGUCAGGGUCUGUGGGAUUGUUUGAGGCUUGGUCCAGGAAGGUAGACUCAUUGGCGCCGGACACAUCUGGCUUCCAUUAACAAACUGAUAAGAUACACAGGAUGUAGAGAGGGGGGGCAACGGCGGGGUCAUAGGUCAGCCAACAGCCCCAUCCGCGCGCUCCCGCGUGGAGGGAAGCGCAAGAGUAUAAGGUUUAGGACGGGAGUAGACAGGGGGACUCGACAUCUUGGCUAGGGCGCGAGACACUUCUCUCUGACAUCGGUUGAAUAAAAUCUUUCCCCAAUCA